GUACACUCCUGCGGGAGGCAGCAGUGGGGAAUUUUGGACAAUGGGCGAAAGCCUGAUCCAGCAAUGCCGCGUGAGUGAAGAAGGCCUUCGGGUUGUAAAGCUCUUUUGUCAGGGAAGAAACGGUGAAAGCUAAUAUCUUUUGCUAAUGACGGUACCUGAAGAAUAAGCACCGGCUAACUACGUGCCAGCAGCCGCGGUAAUACGUAGGGUGCAAGCGUUAAUCGGAAUUACUGGGCGUAAAGCGUGCGCAGGCGGUUUUGUAAGUCUGAUGUGAAAUCCCCGGGCUCAACCUGGGAAUUGCAUUGGAGACUGCAAGGCUAGAAUCUGGCAGAGGGGGGUAGAAUUCCACGUGUAGCAGUGAAAUGCGUAGAUAUGUGGAGGAACACCGAUGGCGAAGGCAGCCCCCUGGGUCAAGAUUGACGCUCAUGCACGAAAGCGUGGGGAGCAAACAGGAUUAGAUACCCCGGUAGUCCC
rnacentral:rRNA from 1 species